UUUCAUAGAAUGAAUAACAUUAAAAUAUUAUGUAGGUUUAAAUUAGUGCAUUCAGCCAGAUACAAGUAUGCAUCUUGCGUGAAAAGGAGGGUCUCACCUAGAGAUGUACAAAAAAUCCGAAAUCCGAAAUCCGAUCCGAUCCGGAAAAAAAUCUGAAAAAUCCGAUCCGAAAAAAACCCGGCCCGAUCUGGCCUGGUCUGAAGAUUUUAAAUAGACCUACUAUUUCCCACCCAAAUCCGGCCCGGCCCGAGAUCUGAAAAACCCGGAUUAAAUCCGGAUUUUAAAAAAUCCGGAUAAAACCCGGUUUCAGGAAAACCCGGAUAAAACCCGGAUAAAACCCGGAUAUUAAACUGACUUUCUAUGUUUAUAUGAUUUUUAUAUAUAUGAUGAUAAGGUGUAAAAGACUACAGACUCUAGCAAGCAGGCCGUAGUAAUCAAAUUCCAAGCCCAAUUCAUUUUCAAGCCCAAAUACACAUAAAGAUAGUCCAACUCCGUAGUCCAAUCCAAACUCCAAAGUCUAAACCUAAGUCAGAGCAACCUAACUUAUUCGCGACAUCGCGUUUCUUGUUUAUCUUUAAUUCGAAAAUCUGGAAAAUGGAGGAUAAGGCGAUGAUUCAAGGCGGUGAACGAAUCCCUAAAUUGAAGGCCGCAACUCACGAUUUACAACCCACCACUCUAUGUUUGACCCGCAAUCGAAGGCCGAAGCUCUGAAAAUCUUUCUCAACUCGAAGCCACGAUAUCACGAUCCCUAAUUUCUAGUAAUCAAGUUUACAGAAUUCGUGCAUACAAUACAAGCGCUUCAGAUUGAGCUGGCAGAUGUAAAGUUAACAUAUAUGCCCUGUAUUUCUGGUGAAACAUGGAACUGAAGACAGGACAGAAUGGCAGACUGAAGCUUAUGAUCAACUCUUUAAUUUCUUGAAUGCAUCUUGUAUUUUGAAUUGUAAUUUGCAAGUUUUAAUUUAAAUCAGUUGUAAUGGAUUAUUUUUUCAAGAUAUUCUAAAUUUUAAUUUUUAGUUCAUGUA